rnacentral:rRNA from 1 species
CAGUAGCCGCGGUAAUACGGAGGGGGCUAGCGUUGUUCGGAAUUACUGGGCGUAAAGCGCACGUAGGCGGCUAUUCAAGUCAGAGGUGAAAGCCCGGGGCUCAACCCCGGAACUGCCUUUGAAACUAGAUAGCUAGAAUCACGGAGAGGUAAGUGGAAUUCCGAGUGUAGAGGUGAAAUCCGUAGAUAUUCGGAAGAACACCAGUGGCGAAGGCGGCUUAUUGGACGUGAAUUGACGCUGAGGUGCGAAAGCGUGGGGAGCAAACAGGAUUAGAUACCCCGGUAGUCCCUGUCUCUUAUAC